AGAAGGCUAUGUUAGCCGGGCGACGGUUGUCCCGGUUUAAGCAUGUAGGCUGGUUGUCCAGGCAAAUCCGGAUAAUCAAGGCUGAGGUGUGAUGACGAGGCACUACGGUGCUGAAGUAACAAAUGCCCUGCUUCCAGGAAAAGCCUCUAAGCAUCAGGUAACAUCAAAUCGUACCCCAAACCGACACAGGUGGUCAGGUAGAGAAUACCAAGGCGCUUGAGAGAACUCGGGUGAAGGAACUAGGCAAAAUGGUGCCGUAACUUCGGGAGAAGGCACGCUGGUGUGUAGGUGAAGCCCCUGCGGGUGGAGCUGAGACCAGUCGAAGAUACCAGCUGGCUGCAACUGUUUAUUAAAAACACAGCACUGUGCAAACACGAAA
rnacentral:rRNA from 1 species